GUGAGACAACUGGGGCACCUACGGCCUACGGGAAACUCCAGCUUGAACCAUUUUUCUCCAGCACCGCUUGCAAGCAUAGAACCACCAGUCGUUUGGAUCGUCCACAAUGGUGCAAAAUAAUAUGCAGGAACUCAGUAUGCAAAACAAUGUGGCAAACUAUGCGGUCUUGCACCAAAAUGAUUUUCGGUAAGCAGCCAUGGGCAACUAAGAGGUAGGAUAAAGCACAGGCAAGACAGAAGAGUAAAUUACCGCCAACAGCGGUGUCAGGAAGCUCUUCAACAGGUCCCUUGCCUAACCAUAUCUCCCGCCUCCGAGCCUCUACAUCAGACAUUAUAGGCAGGACAACAGUGUAGUCUGAAGGAACAUGCCUGGAAGAAUUGUUAGUAGACGAAGCC